rnacentral:tRNA from 1 species
UGUGCUGUCGUUCAAUGGAUGUAGGACGCGGGUCUUCUAAGCCUGCUAUACCAGUUCGAGUCUGGUCGGCACAA